UACAGAGGGUGCAAGCGUUAAUCGGAAUUACUGGGCGUAAAGCGCACGUAGGUGGCGACGUAAGUCGGGUGUGAAAGCCCCGUGCUCAACCUGGGAAUUGCAUUCGAGACUGCAUUGCUGGAGUACGGAAGAGGAAGGCGGAAUUCCCGGUGUAGCGGUGAAAUGCGUAGAUAUCGGGAGGAACAUCAGUGGCGAAGGCGGCCUUCUGGUCCAGUACUGACACUCAAGUGCGAAAGCGUGGGGAGCAAACAGG
rnacentral:rRNA from 1 species